rnacentral:lncRNA from 10 species
GAACAGAAUCAGGGCCUUGUGCAGAAUAAGAGAGAGAUGGAAAAGUCUCUGGGAAGUGAGGUGAUGGAUUGAUUAAAGGUGAAGGAAAGCAGUGAGCAUCAGUAAACCCAACAAAGAACAGAUUCAGGGUGGAUCCAGUUAAAACAGUUUCACAAUUUUCUCCAAUAACAGUUUGCAACCAUUCUUGAAGGCUGCAGACUUGGCAGACUUGGCAAGGUGGAACAGGAGAAAUACAAAGUAUGGAGCUGAUAUGGUUUGGCUGUGUCCCCACACAAAGUCUUAUCUUGGAUUGUAAUCCCCAUAAUCUCCACAUGUCAAGGGAGAGCCCAAGUGGAGGUAAUUGAAUCAUGGGGGUGGUUUCCCCCAUGCUGUUGUCACGAUAGUGAGUUCUCAGGAGAUCCGAUGGUUUUAUAAGUGUUUGGUAGUUCCUCCUGCGUUCAUUCUCCUUCCUGCUGCCUUGUGAAGAAGGUGCCUUGCUGCUGCCAUUAUUGUAAGUUUCCUGAGGCCUCCUCAGCCAUGCUGAACUGAUGUGGAGCUGAGAAGCCCCGAUUUCCACUUUCUGACUCCUAGACUCAGCUGAUUUGAACCCCUCAGUGGAAUAGCAGCAGCCCAUCCGCAGCUUUCCUAGAAGUUCCUGACCUAGUAGCCUGAAAUGCAUUCUAAUCA